rnacentral:lncRNA from 10 species
CUGGCCAUGAGAUUACAUGUCCUAGCAUGCUCAGCCAGGCGCGCGCAGCUCUGCCCCUUCCUCCAGUGAUGCGCACAGUCCCUGAUCCCUGUGCACGCUGGGAUUGUAGUCCUGCAGCCCUGCGAUCACUUGCAGGUAACAAGAAAUUUCAGCUUCCGGCAUGAUGGGCGAAGGCCCCCACCUUCAGCCUCGCUCCUCCAUGCCUUCAGAGCUGUUCCGCCAUGCAGACGGGGAGCCUGCCUGUUCUUUAACCUCUCCUACCUGAUGGGAGAGGACAAGCUACCAGGACAGCUUGUCUCACCAAGAAAUUGUGAUACCGCAUCCCCCAACGUGCUGGCUUCCUGACUUCCAAAGUUGCGGCAAGGUAAGAAGAACUACAGAGGAAGAACCUAAUGCAGACGUUUCCCAGGAGACUUUAACUGAAGUAUCAGCAAACUGAAAGCUAGGACGCUUCAGACAUACCAGUGGGCCUAACCUUUUUCACAAGGAGCUCUGGCCUGGCCAACAAGAAUCACCUUUGGUGCUUCAGUGCAGUGUCACCAUCACCUGUUUGAAAUGCAGCCAGAUGGAGUCUCAUUCUGUCACCCAAGCUGGAGUGCAGUGGCGCGGUCUUGGCUAACAGCAACCUCCGCCUCCCAGGUUCAAGCAAUUCUCCUGCCUCAGCCUCUCGAGUAGCUGGUAUUACAGGCACGCACCACCACGCCCAGAGUUUCACUCUUGUUGCCCAGGCUGGAGUGCAAUGGCUCGAUCUUGGCUCACCACAAGCUCCAACUCCAGGAUUCAAGCGGUUCUCCUGUCUCAGC